rnacentral:rRNA from 1 species
UACGUAGGGUGCAAGCGUUGUCCGGAAUUAUUGGGCGUAAAGAGCUCGUAGGCGGUCUGUUGCGUCGGCUGUGAAAACCCGAGGCUCAACCUCGGGCCUGCAGCCGAUACGGGCAGACUAGAGUUCGGCAGGGGAGACUGGAAUUCCUGGUGUAGCGGUGAAAUGCGCAGAUAUCAGGAGGAACACCGGUGGCGAAGGCGGGUCUCUGGGCAUUAACUGACGCUGGAGGAGCGAAAGCGUGGGGAGCGAACAGG